ACAGGAGUCACCUGGGGAUCUGGUUAAAAUGCAGUGUCUAAUUCAGUAGAUCUGGGGCAGGGCCAGAGACUCUGCAUUUCUAACAAGCUUCUGGGUGACACCAAU
rnacentral:pre_miRNA from 1 species